GUUAAGCGACUAAGCGUACACGGUGGAUGCCCUGGCAGUCAGAGGCGAUGAAGGACGUGCUAAUCUGCGAUAAGCGUCGGUGAGGUGAUAUGAACCGUUAUAACCGGCGAUUUCCGAAUGGGGAAACCCAGUGUGUUUCGACACACUAUCAUUAACUGAAUCCAUAGGUUAAUGAGGCGAACCGGGGGAACUGAAACAUCUAAGUACCCCGAGGAAAAGAAAUCAACCGAGAUUCCCCCAGUAGCGGCGAGCGAACGGGGAGGAGCCCAGAGCCUGAAUCAGUGUGUGUGUUAGUGGAAGCGUCUGGAAAGGCGCGCGAUACAGGGUGACAGCCCCGUACACAAAAAUGCACAUAUUGUGAGCUCGAUGAGUAGGGCGGGACACGUGGUAUCCUGUCUGAAUAUGGGGGGACCAUCCUCCAAGGCUAAAUACUCCUGACUGACCGAUAGUGAACCAGUACCGUGAGGGAAAGGCGAAAAGAACCCCGGCGAGGGGAGUGAAAAAGAACCUGAAACCGUGUACGUACAAGCAGUGGGAGCCUCUUAAUGGGGUGACUGCGUACCUUUUGUAUAAUGGGUCAGCGACUUAUAUUCUGUAGCAAGGUUAACCGAAUAGGGGAGCCGAAGGGAAACCGAGUCUUAACUGGGCGUUAAGUUGCAGGGUAUAGACCCGAAACCCGGUGAUCUAGCCAUGGGCAGGUUGAAGGUUGGGUAACACUAACUGGAGGACCGAACCGACUAAUGUUGAAAAAUUAGCGGAUGACUUGUGGCUGGGGGUGAAAGGCCAAUCAAACCGGGAGAUAGCUGGUUCUCCCCGAAAGCUAUUUAGGUAGCGCCUCGUGAAUUCAUCUCCGGGGGUAGAGCACUGUUUCGGCAAGGGGGUCAUCCCGACUUACCAACCCGAUGCAAACUGCGAAUACCGGAGAAUGUUAUCACGGGAGACACACGGCGGGUGCUAACGUCCGUCGUGAAGAGGGAAACAACCCAGACCGCCAGCUAAGGUCCCAAAGUCAUGGUUAAGUGGGAAACGAUGUGGGAAGGCCCAGACAGCCAGGAUGUUGGCUUAGAAGCAGCCAUCAUUUAAAGAAAGCGUAAUAGCUCACUGGUCGAGUCGGCCUGCGCGGAAGAUGUAACGGGGCUAAACCAUGCACCGAAGCUGCGGCAGCGACGCUUAUGCGUUGUUGGGUAGGGGAGCGUUCUGUAAGCCUGUGAAGGUGGCCUGUGAGGGUUGCUGGAGGUAUCAGAAGUGCGAAUGCUGACAUAAGUAACGAUAAAGCGGGUGAAAAGCCCGCUCGCCGGAAGACCAAGGGUUCCUGUCCAACGUUAAUCGGGGCAGGGUGAGUCGACCCCUAAGGCGAGGCCGAAAGGCGUAGUCGAUGGGAAACAGGUUAAUAUUCCUGUACUUGGUGUUACUGCGAAGGGGGGACGGAGAAGGCUAUGUUGGCCGGGCGACGGUUGUCCCGGUUUAAGCGUGUAGGCUGGUUUUCCAGGCAAAUCCGGAAAACC
rnacentral:rRNA from 1 species